UACGUAGGGGGGCAAGCGUUGUCCGGAUUCAUUGGGCGUAAAGCGCGGGCAGGCGGCCCCGCUCAGUCGGCCGUGAAAGCGCCGGGCUCAACUCGGCGAGGUCGGGCGAUACUGGCGGGCUCGAGGCUGGUAGAGGGCGGUGGAAUUCCGGGUGUAGUGGUGGAAUGCGUAGAGCUCCGGAGGAACACCAGUGGCGAAGGCGGCCGCCUGG
rnacentral:rRNA from 1 species